GGUCGUUAACUUGAUUCACGCAUUGCAUUAAAAAAAAGAUAAAAGAACAUGGCCAAUUUGACCGAUAAAAAUAAAAUUAAAAAAUGUGGGCCCCAAUGGCUCCUCCCAAGGUCUCAACACUGCCCCAAACCAACCAGAACGCCGGAUAUCAGAAGACAGUGUGAACAGGAAUAGAAAAACACUGGAAAUCCACCACUACAUCGGACAUAGAGCACAUGGAUCCAUCGAAGUAGGCCAUAAGACCAAAAUCCCAAAUUCAACCACCGGAACAACCGAGAAGAUAGAUGCACGGGCGAAAAACACACUAAAAGAUUCAAACAAAAAAGAAUAAACAAUAAAGAUAAAGAAUCGGAACAGGCAAAUCAAUACUUCAAGUCCCAAUAUUUCAAGUAAGAAUUCAGAGGAAACAACCAAAUCAACACAGGAAAAGCAACCGAAGAAAUAUGGAAAACCCCAGAUCAACGGUGAAGUCCACUCCAACCCAUAACUGAACUAGCUGUAAAACAAACCAAAAAAAAAAUAAAACACCAAAAAUCUGAUAAUGAAAAUAUAACCAAUAUGCACACAAUUUAUCAGAUUUAGAGCAGAUCCAUAUGUCAAACCAUCACCAGAACAAAUCCAAAACCCCGGACAAGAACCCAAAUUGAUCCCCAACUCAGAUCAUAACCCCCAAAAUCCAGGACACACGAUCAACCCUUACUAAUCUCGCAAGAACGCCAUACAAUUUAUAAACCCUUGGUAUUGGCAUAUAAUAGAUCGGAGAUGAGAUUUUCGAAGGUUCCCAUUGUAGUCGCCGAUAAGACUAAACAGAAUCAAGCAGAUCGGAAGAGGAGGCAGGACAAGGAAAAAUAAGAAAUGGUGGGGCGAGAAAGGGAUGGGUGGAAAUGAGUGGGCCAAAAAGAAAGGGUGAUGAAGAGAAUAGUCGAAUCAACAUCCCCACUCUCCAACUCCAUACAAGGUCAAAUCCACCAACCAAUUAGAUGAUCUUGUGGAAGUUAAGGUUAGACAUUAGAGAUUUGGGAAGAGGGUUUGUAUUUUGGUGUCGAGUGAGAGGGAAAGUUGUUCGAAUCCCUUGGUGGAGAGGGCAACGGUGAUAACCAGGGAUGGUGUAGAGGAGACGACGAUAGUAGUGGUGGUGGAAAUAAGAUGACGAUGAGGAUAAUCAAGAACUCAAAAUUGAUAAUUAAUUGAUGAUGAGGAUCAUCAACCGCAUAGGCAGCAUCCCACGUCAUUUUUGUUUUUUUUAUCAGCCACGCAAAAAAAAA
rnacentral:lncRNA from 1 species